UACCAUUCAAAAUUAUAAAAAAAAAUCCUGCUAUAUGUUAUAGCAGUCCGAUCUGAACUAUGUCUCGGAGUUUGAAUUAUUGCUUUAGAUAAUGAGUCAUGCCUAAUUUCAUGAAUAUAUCUCGUUAAAUGAAAAAAGUUGUUCAUACAAGCAUUUAAUUCCGAUCGUUCAGUUUGUAUGGCAGCUAUGUAUAUGUUAUAGUGUCUAAUAUUGACGAUUCCAGCAAGUCAGCAGCUACUUGGCGAGAAAAGAACACUAACAAGAUUUCAGCUCGAUAUCUCAAAAACCGAAGAACAAGUUCAUUAUAAGUGACCUGGUCUACGAAAAGGGAGCUAACGUGCGAAAACUAGUUUUCUGGGAAACAGCUGUUAAAAAUAAACAACUCGUUUCGUCAGUUUUUCGUUAAAAUUGAUUUUUUGACACCUAAGCCCACUUUCCGUAGACCAGGUCACAUAUAACGACUGGCAGGCAUGACUAAAUCGACUCAACUCGUCAUUUGAAUAUGAAUGAAUAUUGCAGUGGAAGGAAUAAAUGACAGCGGAAACCCCUCCAGAGUAAAUGUUCGAAAGAGGACGUUUUCGCAGAGAUCAGCAUCUUAUCUUUCGAUAAUCAUCAUCAAAAGUCGAUCAGUUUUUGAUGAUUCUCAGUCAGCUUCCCCGGCUAAUCAUGUAUGGCUAAUCCGACCGCGAAUUGAAAGCGCGUAAGAUAGCUUUGACGGCAAGCAUAUCAAAAGAGCACUUGGAUGUCAUAUCAUGCAUGCAAUAUUGGUCAUGAGAAGCCUCAAAAAUUUUGUACAACCUUGAGACUGAGUGAGUUUCAGCAACCGAAGCUACUUUGAAUAAGCCAAAGACUGUUAUAUGAUUCGGAAAGGUAUUCACCACUCAUUUCUGUGAUGCUGUUAAGGUCUACUGUGACUAUCUGGAAAGGUCAUAGGGUUCUUAUAUGCCGAAUUGAUCGAAUUCAGUUACGAACUGCUGCCUCAUACACCGUGUUCUCUGGAUUUGGCUACAGUGAGUUUCAGCAGUCGAAGACUGUUAUAUCGUCUAUAAAGCGGGUUUUCUGUGAUGCUGUUAAGGUCUACUUUGACUACCUGGAAAGGUCACAGGGUUCUCAUAUGCCGAAUUGAUCGAAUUAAGCUACGAACUGCUACCCUAUCAACCACGUUGUUCAGAGUUGACUUCAAGAGACUUUUUCUAGAUUCCAAACUUGAAAAAAACACAUGCCGUGAAGAAAUUUGGGUCUGUAUUGAUAAAAAAAAUUUUGUAAUUUCAUCUUUAAAAUAAUCGAUAUUUUUUAUUGUCUUAAAACAGUCGAAUAUAUCUCAAUUAGUGGUUAAAUAAAUUCAGCCUCAAAUCCGUAUCUUUCACAUAAAUCUCUGUAGUUUAAUUCAGCCGUGAUACCUCAUAAAAUCGCUCAUUUGCGUAGAUCGUUUUGAUUUUGAGAGUUUAUUUAAUAUACGAUUGUUGCUGGUUCGUCUCAUCACUCACCAAGGGUUGGCGCACGAAGGCAGCUAAUAUUGAAUUCAAAAUAUGAAGUGUAUGAUGAAAAUAUUUGAAGUGACGUAUGUGAAAAAUUAGGGAUUAUCGGAAACAUUGUAUUUAGUUUCGAACUAAUUUGGGCUCCGAAAAAAAAUUGCUUUGUAAAAAACAAACAAAAUUCUUAUUCAGUUUAACUCCAUCUCUCCCAACCUUCAGCCUUGAGUUCGGUUCAGCAAACAUUUUAAUUUAUCCCAGCUGUUUAGUAAUGUGAGGUUAUUAUUCAACUAAAAAAAGCUAAAAAAUUCAAAUAAAUUGUUGCACUGUACGCCUGUUGGUAUACUUAUUACCAUUCAUGGCGCAGACGAAGGAGCACGACUCUUCGUGUACUUAAUUAUUGAGGUUUGUGUGUAUGUAAGUGCGCGCCUGUUGGCUCUCUAUGCAUCUCUAAUGAUUGGUAAGCUCUCUGCUAUAAAUUUUAUAUGCACACACUUUUGCCUGUAGAUAUGUAUUUUUUUUACUUAUGUAUAUAUUUAUCCAUAUUAUAUAUACCGGCGCAUGAUUCCAUGGUUACAUACUCUCCCUAUCUAUAGCUGAGUAUGUCUGUUUAUGGAUAAACUAAUACAAUUCUUAUUUUUACUGAUGAGUUGUUGUUUUCUUCUUUAUUUCGCUUUCGCCUUUUAUUUUACGGCGAGUUCUUUUGGCUCGAUUUGCUCUCCUAACCUAGACUCAAAGCGUUCCCCACCGCACAACGCCCUUACACUUGAAUUUUAAAUUUAAAGAAUCGUUUGGAAAUCACAUUGUCGGCUCUCCCACAAGAUGUGAAAAAGAUAAGUCCUGAAAGAAGCAGAUUAGUUCCGAAGUUAUUGCUUGGAUAAAGAAUGGAGGAUUUGGCGCUAUUGUAAAGGGUAUCCCAAAAUUAACGGAAAUGUGAAAUUAGAUAGUCCUUCGAUCUUAUGAUAUAUUUUAUUAUUAUGCAGGUUUUUUCAAAACAGUCCGAGUCCACGUGACAAUCAGAGUUUAAUAGUAAAAAAUUUGAUUCCGUCGAAGUCAGCUAGAGAAAAAUCCCAGAAGAGAUUCAAGUAUAAAACAGAGUCUCCGACGUUUCCUUCUGGGUGUUACAAACUUCGUGACAAACUUAAUAUACCCUGUUCAGGGUAUAAGAAGCUCAGUCUAAUGGGUAUUCAUGGCAGGUAUCUGUAUAAGUAAGUGUAUAUACAUAUAUAUUAUUUUAGUGUACAUACAUAUGAAUUUAUACAAAUGUAUAAAUGUUUUGCUGAAUAAUAUAUUAACUAUAUAAAUAAAAUAUUAUUUAUUAUGUAUGUAUAAGUAUUUAUAUAUAUUUCUUAGCGAUUAGUUAUUGUUUAUUACAGCCAUAAUUUUGUGCGAGUAUAUACAAAUGUGCAUAUGUAUGUAUGUA